GAAGCUUUCGUACAUACUUCCCCCAGAAUUUUUAGUUGUUUGCAAUUCGAUUUCGGUGUAAAAUGUAUCAAAUUUUCGACGCGAAAUUCUAAAUACUUUAUUUAUAUUUUGCAACAUUGCCGAGCAUGCGUAGAACUCACGUUGGAAAUUCAACGUGAAUCAAUUCGAUUUCUCCAGAGCUAUGCCCACCCUUAACCUGCGAACGGGCAUGCUCGGGGAACGAGAUUGAGGCUGCAUGGGAGGAACGGCCUGCGACCUUUAUUAGUAAAAAGUCGAUUUAUGCGUACGCUCCGUACGCAAAAUUCCCAUUGGUCAGAAGUGCCCCAUGAGUUAAUAUCGUGCAAAUAUUUAACUCGUACGACAUUUCGCAAUGUAAUUUUAAAGCUGGCAUGCAAUGGGCUAUUCCAUUUAAUAUCCGUACCCCCCCUGUCGAGGAGCCUGGAAUUCUUCAGGGGUAAAAGGUUUUGAGCUUGGAAUUCUUCAGGGGUAAAGGAUUUUGAGCUUGGAAUUCUUCAGGGGUAAAGUGUUUUGAGUUUGGAAUUCUUCAGGGGUAAAGGGUUUUGAGCUUGGAAUUCUUCAGGGGUAAAGAGGUUUGAGAUUGAAAUUUUUCAGAGCUUGGAAUUCUUCAGGGGUAAAGGGUUUUGAGCUUGGAAUUCUGCAGGGGUAAAAGGUUUUGAGUUUGGAAUUCUUCAGGGAUAAAGGGUUUUGACCUUGUAAUUCUUCAGGGGUAAAGGGUUUUGAGCUUGGAAUUCUUCAGGGUUAAAAGGUUUUGAGCUUGGAAUUCUUCAGGGGUAAAGGGUUUUGAGCUUGGAAUUUUGGAAUUCUUCAGGGGUAAAAGGUUUUGAGCUUGGAAUUCUUCAGGGGUAAAGGGUUUUGAGCUUGGAAUUUUGGAAUUCUUCAGGGGUAAAAGGUUUUGAGCUUGGAAUUCUUCAGGGGUAUAACCAUGAAAAACAUGUAUCCUCGACAGGGGGUGUACGGAUAUUAAAUGGAAUAGCCCAAUCUG